ACCAGACUCCUACGGGAGGCAGCAGUGGGGAAUAUUGGGCAAUGGGCGCAAGCCUGACCCAGCAACGCCGCGUGAAGGAAGAAGGCUUUCGGGUUGUAAACUUCUUUUCUCAGGGACGAAGAAAGUGACGGUACCUGAGGAAUAAGCCACGGCUAACUACGUGCCAGCAGCCGCGGUAAUACGUAGGGGGCGAGCGUUAUCCGGAUUCACUGGGUGUAAAGGGAGCGUAGACGGCCAAGCAAGCCAGGGGUGAAAGCCCGGGGCCCAACCCCGGGACUGCCCUUGGAACUGCACGGCUGGAGUGCGGGAGGGGCAGGCGGAAUUCCUGGUGUAGCGGUGAAAUGCGUAGAUAUCAGGAGGAACACCGGCGGCGAAGGCGGCCUGCUGGACUGCAGCUGACGUUGAGGCUCGAAAGCGUGGGGAGCAAACAGGAUUAGAUACCCGCGUA
rnacentral:rRNA from 1 species